rnacentral:lncRNA from 1 species
GUUUGUGCCGCGCGCCCGCCAGACCGCCCAGGAGGCGGCGGCUAUUGUUCCCCGCAGGGGCCCGGGGCGCCCUGAAACGGGGUCCACGUCAGCCCGCUCCCGAGCGUGUCCUCAGGUCUAAGGACGGAUCUGGGGACCCUUCACCUGCCUCUACUACUGCAAAUGAUUGGAUAUUCGUCUGACUUGGCUCUUCCCUAAUGUGUGGAACUAAUUUUGUUCACUCUGUUUCAUGCUGGACCUGGCCUGAAAAUGGGCCCUUAUAUUGUCUUUGCACUUUCCAACUUGCCAAGUUUCUGAAAGAAGGACCAAAGUAAUGCCAAGAACUCCCAGAUGAAGAGGACCUUCCUUAGACCUAUAACAGAUUCACUACUUGACUUCAGAGGGAAGUUUCAGCUAAUUCUCAGGAAAAGGUCAAAACAGGCCUGUGACUGUCCCUUGAAUACUGAAGGUAUAAACAAGCUUCUGGCUCCUCCAGGUCAAGCAGAGGAACACUUUUAUUAGAAUGAAGGGUUACUUCUUUGUUAUUCAAACACACACCCACACACAUCCUCUGUAGUCUCCCUAAUGAAAAACCUCAACAGAUGGAGAGCCUGAGCUCCCAAGUCCGCAGGCUGAGAAGAUGCACUUCACUCAAGGGCCAGUGGGCUGGUACAGACUAGGGAAGAGAAAAGGGACAAAGGCUGCUAGUAUAGGUAAUCACUAUCUUUUAAUACUCCUAACACAUAGAAAUUCGAAAAAUCUUGUUCAGCAAUGUUAGCAGCCUGUGAGCCUCGGAAACUAAUUUGGCUGAUGUGUCUCUGAUAGGGAGCUUGGGGCUGCACCAAGGGGAAACAUUCUCCUCCUGUAUUCUCUCCUCUCUCUCGUUUGAAAGCCUGUACAAAGAAAUGGUACAAAUGGAUGGUUAACUUAAUGAUUCCAUCAGAGGCAGAUUUUUCUCUGUCAGGUCCCUGGAUAAGGUGGAGGUCUGAAAGCCAGGAGACAGAAUAUGUACUUAAUCGCCCUUUCUGACCUGCUUACCAGUGACCAGGACUACUCUCCAGGCCUUUCUUCUGCCACUUCCCCAUUCUUCCUGGCUAGUUCAGUUGGGUCUCAGCACUUCAACUCCUGGCUGGAUCCUGAGUUUUUCUUGGUUGCAGGGAAAGCUCUCACUGUCUGCAUCUCCUUCCCCACCCCCACCUCCCGUUUUGCAGCUGGCCAUUCUGGCUGCCUCACAGCUAUCCUGCCUUAAUUCAUAUUUGAUUGCCUGGACAGAACCACCUAGAAUGUCCAGACGACUGCCACCCCUCAGCCAUGGGCCUGAGAUCCUGCCCUGACCCCUUUCUUCAGACCCCAGGAGGACCCACAAUCUCCCUGAUCCCCACCUUCCCCAAAGUAGUCUCUAGGAAAAAAGCAGAGCUGGCUAAGGCCUGAGACAGAGCCAUUUCUUCCCCUUGGGCAAACGAGGUAGACCCUCCCAGAGACCAAUGCCGGAGAGGCCCGGAUCCGAGCUCCCUUUAUAUGGCCUCCCCCAUCACGGAUCCCGUGGGAAAACCUGACACACAAUGGCGCGGCUGCUCCGGGCACCCUCAACCCAGCGCCCUGCGGCAAGGCCUGGAGCAGCCUGGUGGUCUUGGUGCGCUCCCUUUGCCCUCCCCGCAACCCUCUGCGAGCACUCGUCCCAGGAGAGAGACCCUGGCUAGGGUGGAGGUUGCCUCCCGCAAAGGGCGCUGUUGCUGGGGCCUCCCCUCCCCCAUUCUCUUGUUUUUCUGCUUCUGAGACUCGGGAGGGAGGCGGCAGGCGCCUCCGCAGCCGAUAGAGCAGCUAUUGUGACCUUCCCUUGCAGAGCGGGAACCCAGCCGAGUGUGUACCGCCGGCGGUGGCGGGGGAGGAGGCGACUGUGUGUGCAAACCUCAGUCGGAGAGGGGGUGGCGCUGGGAAAUAAAGGUUUGCAACCUCAGGCAGUUGGGCCCUUCAGAGGGCGUUUGGUUGUGUUUAGACUCGGUUGCUUUCUAACACUAAUUGCAGGCUCAAAAGGAGCGGAAUUUAUUGCGAAGGCCAAGGCGGCUUGUUUAUAAUUUAUGAAGUUUUAAAUGGCUGUGCCGCGGGCCCCAACUUUCUCCUGGGCUGGCAGCCGCGCGGAAACGCGCCCUCCCCCGGCUCGCCGCCCACCCCCACCCACGCCCCUCAGAUGAGUCUCACGCCAAUGGCAGGAACAGAUCCGAGCUAUUAGAAGUCUCGGGAACCUCCAGAGAUGACAGAAGGUGGCAGAUUUGGUCCAAGCCCUCACCCCACUCGAGAGGAGGGCGUCGGGGAAAGCUGUGGCUGCCUGGAGAGGGAGCCCCUGAUCCCACACUUCCUUGGAGCCUGAGUGUGAGAGGAAGCUAAUGUCAGCCGGGCUAGACACCGUUUAAAGUCUAAUCCAUGAAACCCUAAGCCGCAAAUGACACUUGGGGCUUUGCAGACACCCGCAGACUCAGCAGAUACUCCUGCGGUAACACACUGUGCUGGAAAACGCCUGGAGCCAUGACACAUUACGUAUUUUUAUUAUUAUUUAUGGUAGGAAGAGGAGAUGAGGGAAAAUCGGGCUGAAUCUAAGCAGCCUGACAAUUCAGCUAGUUAAUAUUUAGCCAGUUAAGAAAGGUGGUUGUAAUCCCUGCAAGGCAGUGAGCUCUCCUUUGAUUUCUCUAAUAGCUUAAAAAAUAAUUUCUUACAAGACAAUUAGAAAUUCUGCCUAUGGAUGCAAAUUUCAUAGAAAACAAUGUUAAGCCUUGAAAGUGGGUAAAAUGUGCCUUCGAUUGAAGUCAUUUAUUCUGUUGAUACACUUCUACAACAUAUAUAUUUUAAACCUGCUCAGAUAAAGUGAAAUUUAGCAAAAGGAUAUCCCCUCCCACCCCCAAAUCUAACAUGCCAUUUUAAAAACAGCACAAAGGAACAAGGAAACUAAAUAUUAUUUUGAGCCAUCAUUACUUAGUGAAAUACAAACAUCCAAAUAGAAACGAUUGUUGUUCCACCAGAAGAUUAGAAGUUAAAUUAUUUCCACACAAUAGGAAUUUCACUUCGUGUCAUCGGGGAUGUAGUAGGAGUUGCAUUAUUUGUCAAACCAAAUAGAGAUGCGUGGGCUGACUUUGCUGAAAUACAAAAGAAUUGAACCUUAUCUGAAGGCGUUUUCUAAGUGGCCCCUCCCAUAGAAGCCGGGAAGUUGUCCACCCCUAGCAGAAGCCACAUUAAUAUUUACAAAAUGGUUAUAAAUCCUUGAAGACAUUUUUGCCCAUUUUGUAUAAGAAACAGGAGUAAACAAGGUGUUUAUACUUGUUAUGUUUCAUUAAUGAAAUAUUAUUACUUUACAUCUUGGGGAAUGUUUGUUUUCUUUAGAAAUGAACUAAUGAUCACUACAAAGGAAGAAUUCAUGACAGCAUUUCCUAGAGAAAAAGCUUAGGUACGCGUCUCCAAAUGAUGGUUUCUUUUUCUACACCUUAGCUUUUUCAUAGCUCAAUUCUUCUUACAACUUCUCUUGUGUUUUUUCUUUGAUUGUCAGUUUUCUUUCAAAGUUUAUUUUUUGUUACUUAAUGCAGAAAAGUGAGCUCUGGUCUCCCCAGUGUAAAAGUCGAUUGUGUCUAGAAAGAAGGCAGUAAAAACAGCAAAGCAGGCGCUGCUUUCAAAAAGCCCUGCCCAAAUCAUCCCGCCCAGAACCUUCUUAGGUUUGCAUCCUCAUUUCCCCCUCCCCUAAUUUCAAUAGCUGGAAAGUAAUCAAGUAUCCCGAGAACCAAUUUAUGCACUAGACUCCAAAUAAAUAAAAUAUUUUUUUCAAAGUGUCA